GGGAGGUGGGGGCGAGAAGUAAAGGAGUUCAAAGCCAUCUCCAGUUAUAUAGAAAAGUUUGAGUCCAGCCUGAGCUGCAUGAGACCCUGUCUUAAGACACAAACAUCCAUUAUUCUAUACUGAUAUCAAUAAGUGGUAGCCAUAGCCCUCUGCCCUCGAAAUGUGAACAGUGUAGACAGUGUCUACUUUCCAAAGUAGGCAUAGCACAAAGUCAGGAAGAGAGACUCUACAAUGGAGAGUCGUGACACCGUCAGCCAGAGGACUGAAGCCAGAUAAUGGUGACAACGGCGCUUUACCCCUGUGCUCUUCCUCCCAAACCCAGAGUACCUGGAAUAAAAACAUCAGAAAAAGAAGGCAAAGUCCAAUAAUGAGGCGUUCCCAAGGCAAUCCGCUAGUACUUUUGGAAAUGUCAAGGUUAUCACAAGCAAAUCAGGGUAGGCUCAAGUCAAGAAGGAGGUGCCCAGAGAGACGUGAAUUCCAAAUGCAACAUGGCAUAUUCGAUGGGACUCUGGGACAGAACAAAAUGUGGACUUCAUUACCUUUCUUCCGUUAAUAGUGAAUCAAUAAAAUUUCAUUAAGUGAA